AGAACGAACGCUGGCGGCAGGCCUAACACAUGCAAGUCGAACGCUCCGCAAGGAGAGUGGCAGACGGGUGAGUAACGCGUGGGAAUUUCCCCCAAGGUUCGGAAUAACUGAGGGAAACUUCAGCUAAUACCGAAUGGUACCGAGAGGUUAAAGAUUUAUCGCCUUGGGAUGAGCCCGCGUUGGAUUAGCUAGUUGGUGAGGUAACGGCUCACCAAGGCUUUGAUCCAUAGCUGGUCUGAGAGGACGACCAGCCACACUGGGACUGAGACACGGCCCAGACUCCUACGGGAGCAGCAGUGGGAAUCUGGACAAUGGGCGCAAGCCUGAUCCAGCCAUGCCGCGUGGGCGAUGAAGGUCUUCGGAUUGUAAAGCCCUUUGGCGGGACGAGUAAUGACGGUACCGCAGAUAAGCUCCGGCUAACUCGUGCCAGCAGCCGC
rnacentral:rRNA from 1 species